rnacentral:rRNA from 1 species
ACGGCGGUGUUUGGCACCUCGAUGUCGGCUCAUCACAUCCUGGGGCUGAAGUAGGUCCCAAGGGUAUGGCUGUUCGCCAUUUAAAGUGGUACGCGAGCUGGGUUUAGAACGUCGUGAGACAGUUCGGUCCCUAUCUGCCGUGGGCGCUGGAGAAUUGAGGGGGGCUGCUCCUAGUACGAGAGGACCGGAGUGGACGCAUCACUGGUGUUCGGGUUGUCAUGCCAAUGGCACUGCCCGGUAGCUAAAUGCGGAAGAGAUAAGUGCUGAAAGCAUCUAAGCACGAAACUUGCCCCGAGAUGAGUUCUCCCUGAGACUUUAAGUCUCCUGAAGGAACGUU